rnacentral:rRNA from 1 species
AACGAACGCUGGCGGCAGGCUUAACACAUGCAAGUCGAACGCCCCGCAAGGGGAGUGGCAGACGGGUGAGUAACGCGUGGGAACGUACCUUUCAGUUCGGAAUAACUCAGGGAAACUUGUGCUAAUACCGGAUACGCUCGUAAGAGGAAAGAUUUAUCGCUGAAAGAUCGGCCCGCGUUGGAUUAGCUAGUUGGUGGGGUAAAGGCCUACCAAGGCGACGAUCCAUAGCUGGUCUGAGAGGAUGAUCAGCCACACUGGGACUGAGACACGGCCCAGACUCCUACGGGAGGCAGCCUGAGACGCCAAGGCACACAGGGGAUAGG